AUGAACGCUAGCUACAGGCUUAACACAUGCAAGUCGAGGGGCAGCAUGAACUUAGCUUGCUAAGUUUGAUGGCGACCGGCGCACGGGUGAGUAACACGUAUCCAACCUGCCGAUGACUCGGGGAUAGCCUUUCGAAAGAAAGAUUAAUACCCGAUGGCAUAGUUCUUCCGCAUGGUAGAACUAUUAAAGAAUUUCGGUCAUCGAUGGGGAUGCGUUCCAUUAGGUUGUUGGCGGGGUAACGGCCCACCAAGCCUUCGAUGGAUAGGGGUUCUGAGAGGAAGGUCCCCCACAUUGGAACUGAGACACGGCCCAAACUCCUACGGGAGGCAGCAGUGAGGAAUAUUGGUCAAUGGACGAGAGUCUGAACCAGCCAAGUAGCGUGAAGGAUGACUGCCCUAUGGGUUGUAAACUUCUUUUAUACGGGAAUAAAGUGAGGCACGUGUGCCUUUUUGUAUGUACCGUAUGAAUAAGGAUCGGCUAACUCCGUGCCAGCAGCCGCGGUAAUACGGAGGAUCCGAGCGUUAUCCGGAUUUAUUGGGUUUAAAGGGAGCGUAGGCGGACGCUUAAGUCAGUUGUGAAAGUUUGCGGCUCAACCGUAAAAUUGCAGUUGAUACUGGGUGUCUUGAGUACAGUAGAGGCAGGCGGAAUUCGUGGUGUAGCGGUGAAAUGCUUAGAUAUCACGAAGAACUCCGAUUGCGAAGGCAGCUUGCUGGACUGUAACUGACGCUGAUGCUCGAAAGUGUGGGUAUCAAACAGGAUUAGAUACCCUGGUAGUCCACACAGUAAACGAUGAAUACUCGCUGUUUGCGAUAUACAGUAAGCGGCCAAGCGAAAGCGUUAAGUAUUCCACCUGGGGAGUACGCCGGCAACGGUGAAACUCAAAGGAAUUGACGGGGGCCCGCACAAGCGGAGGAACAUGUGGUUUAAUUCGAUGAUACGCGAGGAACCUUACCCGGGCUUGAAUUGCAACUGAAUGAUGUGGAGACAUGUCAGCCGCAAGGCAGUUGUGAAGGUGCUGCAUGGUUGUCGUCAGCUCGUGCCGUGAGGUGUCGGCUUAAGUGCCAUAACGAGCGCAACCCUUAUCGAUAGUUACCAUCAGGUUAUGCUGGGGACUCUGUCGAGACUGCCGUCGUAAGAUGUGAGGAAGGUGGGGAUGACGUCAAAUCAGCACGGCCCUUACGUCCGGGGCUACACACGUGUUACAAUGGGGGGUACAGAAGGCAGCUACACGGCGACGUGAUGCUAAUCCCUAAAGCCUCUCUCAGUUCGGAUUGGAGUCUGCAACCCGACUCCAUGAAGCUGGAUUCGCUAGUAAUCGCGCAUCAGCCACGGCGCGGUGAAUACGUUCCCGGGCCUUGUACACACCGCCCGUCACACCAUGGGAGUGGGUUGCAAAAGAAGUAGGUAGCUUAACCUUCGGGAGGGCGCUUACCACUUUGUGAUUCAUGACUGGGGUG
rnacentral:rRNA from 1 species